rnacentral:rRNA from 1 species
UACGUAGGGGGCUAGCGUUGUCCGGAAUCAUUGGGCGUAAAGCGCGUGUAGGCGGCCCGGUAAGUCCGCUGUGAAAGUCGGGGGCUCAACCCUCGGAUGCCGGUGGAUACUGUCGGGCUCGAGUACGGAAGAGGCGAGUGGAAUUCCUGGUGUAGCGGUGAAAUGCGCAGAUAUCAGGAGGAACACCGAUUGCGAAGGCAGCUCGCUGGGACGUUACUGACGCUGAGGCGCGAAAGCUAGGGGAGCAAACAGG